CCUGCCGCUGCCGAACAUGACGCGAAUCUGACGCGCAUCUCAUUUCCUCACAAAUCUAGAUAUGUUGAGGUUUCACUACCCCUGGGCGUCUGUUCCAGCAAUACACCUGAGACAGGUUGAAUCACAGGAAAUGUCCUGUUAUGGUGCUUUUGCUGCACAUUGUCUUUAUGUCAAAGGAGGAGUGAUGUCUCAGAAGCCGAAGGGCAGCUCUGCCAGUUUGGGCCAUGACAUGACCACCUCAAGACCUGUAAUGCCAAACUUUAAAAGAGUAUGUCACUCAUGUUGAAAAUGGACACUGAUUUUUUUGGCCACGCUCCAGAAAUAAUAAAAGAUUGAGGUCUUAUGAAGACAUAAUGACUUUGUGUGUCACAAUUUCCCCUGUGUUUUAAUAAGGACUCUUAUUUUGAUAUUCUGUUGUCUUGCUGUUUCUUCAUUUCCUGUGUUUAGUUCCUGUUUGCCUUGGUAUUCGUAGUUACCCUUGUUAGUCUCCAUAGUAACUAAUUAUCCACACCUGUUCCUUGUUAGCCUCUUGUUAUCCUGUGUGUGUGUAUAUAUAUAUAUAUAUAUAUACACCCCUGUGUUUCAGUCUUUGUUUGACGUUUGUGGUCUUUACAAUUCUUUGUAAUGCUGUUGCAGUUCCUGUUUCCCUGUUGGAUUGUUAUA